rnacentral:rRNA from 1 species
GACGUAGGAUGCGAGCGUUGUCCGGAUUUAUUGGGCGUAAAGAGUUCGUGGGUGGUUCGUUAAGUCUGGUGUUAAAGACUGGGGCUCAACCCUGGAAGUGCAUUGGAUACUGGCGGACUGGAGUGCAGUAGAGGCAAGCGGAAUUCCCAGUGUAGCGGUGAAAUGCGUAGAUAUUGGGAAGAACACCGGUGGCGCAAGCGGCUUGCUGGGCUGUAACUGACGCUGAGGAACGAAAGCUAGGGGAGCGAAUGGG